rnacentral:rRNA from 1 species
AGAGUUUGAUCCUGGCUCAGGAUGAACGCUGGCGGCGUGCCUAACACAUGCAAGUCGAACGAAGCGCCUUAAGAGAUUCUUCGGAUGAUCUUUUGGUGACUGAGUGGCGGACGGGUGAGUAACGCGUGGGUAACCUGCCCUGUACAGGGGGAUAACAGCCAGAAAUGGCUGCUAAUACCGCAUAAGCGCACAGGAAGACAUCUUCCAGUGUGAAAAACUCCGCGG